GUUAACGCGGUUGUGUAUGGAUUAAAUGGUCAGCACGCUGUUUAGUGUGAUUAAAACCCUUUUUCCGAUGAUGACACCAGUUUAUAUUUGUUUAUAAACCUCUGAAAAAGCUGAACACAGUUAGAGCACAGGAACGAGGCUUUAGACCGCGUGAAACAAACAUUAAUCAACGGCGUUUUGAGAACAAACUCAAAACAAGCUGUGUAGUUUGUUUGGGCGCGCUCAGGCCGCGGGAGCCGAUUGGUGAUACCGAGUCCUCCAGUAGGUUAUAGUUAUAUUUCAUAAACUAGCAGACUGUAGGAGAUUAAGACCCUUAUUCCAGCCCCCUCCCCAGUCCCUGCUGGUGUAAAGAGAAGAGCAGUGGCCUGCUGAGUCCGUGGGUCUGGCUCUCCGGAUUCUAGCAAGGAGGUGUGGAGCUUCUUUGAGCCUGGAUAAUGGUGGAAAAAACGAUUUAUCGAUUUAUCGGUGUCACCCAGUCUAAAGAGUGUGUGGACAAACAUUUAAAAUUUCUGGAUCUCUGAACGCUCUGGGAGAACGGAGGUGUGCUAUUUAUCAAAGUUUCAAAAUAACAGAAAAAGAAAAGACUUAAGCUACAGUUGGAGCACCAUUCAAGCCUUCUCCUGCACUGUGGUCGAUGUUCUGAGUUCUGACCAGCUACUUAGAGGAACCCAUGAUUGCUGAUUCUUUACUGUCAGCAAAAAGGUACUGUACCGUCUUAUCUAUCUAGCUAUCAAGGAAGCAGGAGAAGCCAGAAAACUGUGCUGCUAAUGAA